rnacentral:lncRNA from 1 species
UUGGUUAGGCAUAUGUAAAUGCUUGGUUGUGUUCCAUAUAAUGUUGUGCUUUGUGCACCCCAUUUAGCUGCUACAGGGUGAUGUGUCUGUAGACAAGGUUUCCUUUUCCUGUUUAAUCUUUGCUUUGCCUCUUCCAUACAUAACCAAGCAAGGUGCCACAGUGCUUAGCACAAUGUACUGAAACAAAAUGGUUCAAAUUUCUGUUUUGGCCUUCAAAAUUUAGUUUUUCUGUGAUUUCCCUAAACUGCCUAAGGCAAACAGUCGGAUGGCUCCUUUGAAAGGGCAUAACCAAAUUCCUUCUCCCAACUUUCCCCCAUUACAAGCUUGUCCUCAAUCUCUAAUGACCCCCAUUAUCGAAAGGGCUCUUUAUCUUCCGUUCACCUUCUUUAAAUUUACUUACUUAAUACCCAGUUUUAAUAAAGCAUCUGCUUUAAUGACAUUUUGAUCAAAAUAUCAUGUUCCAUUGUGCAGUCUACCAUGUGGCUUGUAUUUAGGAGGAGUGGGUCAAAAUUCCUAUACAACCAUCCAAAUUCACAUUGAUUGUGCGUUGUUUCAACUGUAGUAGGCCAUUUGUUUUGAAAAGAGGGAGAACUCUUGCCUUUCAUUGUUUAGACUUGUCAUACUCAUGUAACUUUCAUAUAUUUUUGGGAAAAGGCAUUCUGACUGCAAAGAAAAGUUACUGACAGGCAUCCCAUAUGCUGCCUUUGAUGAUUAUGCCAAAGAUGGCGAGUUUGUGGCUGAAAAAAAUAAUUACUGUAGAUGUGCGCUGUAAUUGUGUAUGAAAGAAAUAAAAAUAAGUGUAUAUUUUGCCUUCUUGCUUGUAUACUUUAACAAUAAUGGAAAUUUGUAGAUGGAGCAAAACAUAAAAUAAGGAAAAAACAGCCAUUCACCUACAGUGGACUGAUGGGUGAUGUACAGAAACAUAUACUAGAAAACAGCUUUCACACUAGCUUUUGAGCAGUAACACUUUAUUUCCCCCUAGCACUAGUGCACAAAUUUACACAGACAUCCAGAUAUACACUCAUGUGGUCACAGCAAGACUGCAACUGUGCAAUUUGUGUACUUGGCUGGGAAGUUGGUUAUUGCUCAAGAGCUGAUGUGAAUGCAGUCAUCUGUUACAUGUUCCUGUGCUCCACCCAUAAAUUCACUGUGGGGGAGUGGUUGCCUUCCUCUUAUCUUGCUUAUUGCACCCUGUGUAUUUUGUUGCUGGAAACAUUCAAAAUGCUCAAAUGUCGCAUCUUAACUGACAUUACUGGUAACACACAGAUUUUUCUCUCAUAUUAUUAAUGAAAUACUUUUCUUGAUAUUACUUCAAAAUUUGUCAAUAUUACGUAAGCUGUUAUGAAACACUGUGUAAAUGCGUUAUCAGUCCAUAUUUUUAUCUAAUUCGUUUCAAAUGCUUUUAGAAUGAUUGCAGUUGACUUCCACACUGAGCAGUAAGUAGGGCAUAGUGUAGCAUGUUACAGAGUGUGUUAUUUUCUAAGUAAUCAAAUGUUUGUGAAUGAAUGUGAGGAGCAAAGGAAAAGCUGUUGUUUUUGAACCAGCUGUAAAUGGGACUGUGUUAAUGUGGUGGUGUGAUACACGAAUUGAAGUAUGCAUUGAUGGUGAAAAUAGAAGAGACAGUGAGUAGUGGAUGUCAGUCCCAUCCAAGAUCUCUCGUUGCCUCAGUCAGGCAGCUGUGUCAGGAGAGAACAGUUAGUGUUUCCGAAAGACUUUGUCAAAAAGUCUAGCAAUUUUCAGUCUUCCCUGCAUGCCUGUCUGCUGUCCACCACUCCUUGAAUUUUACAGGGUUGGCACACAGGUUUUACUGCUUUGAGCGUCACCAGAACGAACCUCCAGAUGUCCCCAGUAAUGAUUCGCAGACGUGAAAAUAUAAUACUUCGUCUGAGCAAUUGAAUAUGUUUAAAUAACAGGUCAGCAUCAGAUUGGAGCUUUAUGCAACAAGUAGCAUACAACUAUUAACAAAGUGUUGUGGCAUUAAAACGAAAGUGCCUUGUAAAUGAGAGCAGAUGGUACUGCAUUGGGGAAAUGAGGAAAGUGCAGAAUUACUCCAAAAUAUGCAGCUACUAAUUGUUUCUGAUAUCACUUCUGUAACAGCAACAUGAGGAAAUGAAUUGCGGCCCUGGAUUCGAGCUGUAAUUAUUAGUAGAAGAAACAAACGUCAUUAAAAAUUAUUUGUUUCUGCCAAAUUGCUUGGUUUAUUAGAAGCUGUAAAAGUUAUAUUGUGACUGGAUACCAGCCACCACCUGCAAUGUUCAUUCAGUUCCUUAUUCAAACCACAAAGUGCCUGUGGUAAUGUAAUUGUAAUACAAGCACUACUGUUAACAAAGUAUGAGCAUCAUGCAAGAAAAAGGCUUCUUUCAUAAUGAGCAAGCUUUAUCUUACCUGUACUAUUACAGAUCAUGUGCAUACAAUGAAACACUUCCAUUGCCAAAAACUUAUCCCACAAAUACCGUGUGCUUAGGUGAUUAUCUUUGUUUGCCCUUAAUGUUUUUGUACCCCAGCCCUUGCUCUUGUACACCCGCUCAAACCUAUUUCCAAGGAACAAAGCGUUCUUUUGUACUUGAGUACUACACUGCUCCAGCCUCCUAUUGUCAAAUUUUGUAUCCUACUGAGGUACUGAGGUUCUUUAGGGAAGUGUAUUCCUUAGUGAAAAUAAAAUUAGUUCAGUUACAUUGACAGUAAUGUAAAACUAGCCAAGGGAAGCGUUUGUCACUCCAUUCCAUAAUGCAUGUGCGUUAUAUAGAACCCCAGCAGACAGUGCACUGCAUAUAUAAUUAAUAUAUAACCUACAUGCUUUUCUUCAUUUAAACAUUUCAUAGGUCCUGGUGGUAACAGGAAAGAAGUCAAAUCCGAAAAAUAUUAGAAAGUUGUCAGUUGUGUUCAGUAAUAAGACAGUGAUUUUUCUAAGCUGUAGCUUGGUAAAUUAAAAUGUACUUUUUUGUUUCAUAGUUGAGAAUUGCUGUAGCAAGGUUUAGGCAACAAUCAGUGUGUUAAAUUAAUUCUGUUGCCACGAAGCAGUGUUCCAGUUGUAUUUUGAAGCUGUUAGUUAUUUCACCUUCCAAAAUAAUCUGGUCAUUGAAAUAUGAAGUGUUACCACAG